rnacentral:rRNA from 1 species
UACGUAGGGUGCGAGCGUUAAUCGGAAUUACUGGGCGUAAAGCGUGCGCAGGCGGUUUUGUAAGACAGGCGUGAAAUCCCCGGGCUCAACCUGGGAAUGGCGCUUGUGACUGCAAGCUGGAGUGCGGCAGAGGGGGAUGGAACUCCGCGUGUAGCAGUGAAAUGCGUAGAUAUGCGGAGGAACACCGAUGGCGAAGGCAAUCCCCUGGGCCUGCACUGACGCUCAUGCACGAAAGCGUGGGGAGCAAACAGG